rnacentral:rRNA from 1 species
UCGAAUGAACGAACGGAGAGAUUCAUCGUCAUUCCGCGGCGUACGCGUCCACGCUCUGAUGCACGGGCCGGCCGCGUCGACGUUCGCGGACGGCGUGCACUUCUCUCUUAGUAUGCAUCGCGACCCGUUCGCGGUCUAAGCGCCGUCCGGGAGCCCAUUCGUCGGACGGUAGAAGACGAAUCGCGCACGCGCAUCAGCGCGUCCGGCCCGACGCAAGAUACGUCGUCCUGCCGUUGUGCGGACAUCGGUGCGGCGCGUCUGUUGUCGCCGCCGCAGUCUCGGACCGUGCGCGUCUCAGUCGGCGAUGAUUCAGUUUCGGGCACUCGCAGGACCCGUCUUGAAACACGGACCAAGGAGUCUAGCAUGUGUGCGAGUCAUUGAGUUAAACUGAAAGGCGUAACGAAAGUGAAGGCGCGCGCCGCGCGCUCAGGGAGGAUGGAGGAUCGGCCUCUCGCACUCCCGAGGCGUCUCGUUUCCAAUCUGUGAAUGUAGGCGCGCUCUGAGCAGAGAUGCUGGGACCCGAAAGAUGGUGAACUAUGCCUGGUCAGGUCGAAGUCAGGGGAAACCCUGAUGGAGGACCGUAGCGAUUCUGACGUGCAAAUCGAUCGUCGGAACUGGG